GACGAACGCUGGCGGCGCGCUUAACACAUGCAAGUCGAACGGAAAGGCCUGCUUUCCCUUGUGGAUUGCGGGUACUCGAGUGGCGAACGGGUGAGUAACACGUGAGUGAUCUGCCCCCAACUUGGGUAUAAGCCUGGGAAACUGGGUCUAAUUCCCGAUAGGACUGCAGGGUGGUGCCUGUGGUGGAAAACGAUUUUCUAGUGGUUGGGGAUGAGCUCGCGGCCUAUCAGCUUGUUGGUGGGGUAAUGGCCUACCAAGGCGGCGACGGGUAGCCGGCCUGAGAGGGUGGACGGCCACAUUGGGACUGAGAUACGGCCCAGACGCCUACGGGAGGCAGCAGUGGGGAAUAUUGCACAAUGGGCGGAAGCCUGAUGCAGCGACGCCGCGUGGGGGAUGACGGCCUUCGGGCUGUAAACUCCUUUCGACCGCGAGGAAGCCACCUGGUUGGAAGGGUGGUGACGGUAGUGGUAGAAGAAGCACCGGCUAACUACGUG
rnacentral:rRNA from 1 species